rnacentral:rRNA from 1 species
UACGGGGGGGCAAGGCGUUGUUCGGAAUUACUGGGCGUAAAGGGGUUGUAGGUGGCUUAUUAAGUCAGACGUGAAAUCCCUACAGCUAACUGGGGAACUGCGUCUGAUACUGGUGGCUCGAGUGCAGGAGAGGAACGCGGAAUUCCAGGUGUAGCGGUGAAAUGCGUAGAUAUACUGGAGGAACACCGGUGGCGAAGGCGGCGUCCUGGACCAAUACUGGACACUGAAUCGCGGAAAGCUAGGGAGCAAACGGGAGUUAGAA